GAUGAACGCUGGCGGCGUGCCUAAUACAUGCAAGUCGAGCGAACAGAUGAGGAGCUUGCUCCUCUGACGUUAGCGGCGGACGGGUGAGUAACACGUGGAUAACCUACCUAUAAGACUGGGAUAACUUCGGGAAACCGGAGCUAAUACCGGAUAAUAUAUUUAACCGCAUGGUUCAAUAUUGAAAGACGGUUUUGCUUUCACUUAUAGAUGUAUCCGCGCCGCAUUAGCUAGUUGGUAAGGUAACGGCUUACCAAGGCGACGAUGCGUAGCCGACCUGAGAGGGUGAUCGGCCACACUGGAACUGAGACACGGUCCAGACUCCUACGGGAGGCAGCAGUAGGGAAUCUUCCGCAAUGGGCGAAAGCCUGACGGAGCAACGCCGCGUGAGUGAUGAAGGUCUUCGGAUCGUAAAACUCUGUUAUUAGGGAAGAACAAAUGUGUAAGUAACUAUGCACGUCUUGACGGUACCUAAUCAGAAAGCCACGGCUAACUACGUG
rnacentral:rRNA from 1 species